GGACAAGCCCUGGAAACGGGGUCUAAUACCGGAUACUGAUCCUCGCAGGCAUCUGCGAGGUUCGAAAGCUCCGGCGGUGCAGGAUGAGCCCGCGGCCUAUCAGCUAGUUGGUGAGGUAACGGCUCACCAAGGCGACGACGGGUAGCCGGCCUGAGAGGGCGACCGGCCACACUGGGACUGAGACACGGCCCAGACUCCUACGGGAGGCAGCAGUGGGGAAUAUUGCACAAUGGGCGAAAGCCUGAUGCAGCGACGCCGCGUGAGGGAUGACGGCCUUCGGGUUGUAAACCUCUUUCAGCAGGGAAGAAGCGAAAGUGACGGUACCUGCAGAAGAAGCGCCGGCUAACUACGUGCCAGCAGCCGCGGUAAUACGUAGGGCGCAAGCGUUGUCCGGAAUUAUUGGGCGUAAAGAGCUCGUAGGCGGCUUGUCACGUCGGUUGUGAAAGCCCGGGGCUUAACCCCGGGUCUGCAGUCGAUACGGGCAGGCUAGAGUUCGGUAGGGGAGAUCGGAAUUCCUGGUGUAGCGGUGAAAUGCGCAGAUAUCAGGAGGAACACCGGUGGCGAAGGCGGAUCUCUGGGCCGAUACUGACGCUGAGGAGCGAAAGCGUGGGGAGCGAACAGGAUUAGAUACCCUGGUAGUCCACGCCGUAAACGGUGGCACUAGGUGUGGGCAACAUUCCACGUUGUCCGUGCCGCAGCUAACGCAUUAAGUGCCCCGCCUGGGGAGUACGGCCGCAGGCUAAAACUCAAGGAAUUGACGGGGGCCCGCACAAGCGGCGGAGCAUGGUGGCUUAUUUCGACGCACGCGAAGACCUUACCAAGGGCUUGGACAUACACCGGAAACCUGGAGACAGGUCCCCCUUGUGUUCGUGUACAGGUGGUGCAUGGCUGUCUCAGCUCGUGGUCGUGAUAUGUGGUAACUCGGCACGAGCG
rnacentral:rRNA from 1 species